rnacentral:rRNA from 1 species
UGGGGAAUCUUGCACAAUGGGGGCAACCCUGAUGCAGCGACGCCGCGUGAGCGAUGAAGCCCUUCGGGGCGUAAAGCUCCUUCGACCGGAACGAUAAUGACGGUACCGGGAGAAGAAGCUGCGGCUAACUACGUGCCAGCAGCCGCGGUAAUACGUAGGCAGCAAGCGUUGUUCGGAGUUACUGGGCGUAAAGAGUACGUAGGCGGUUUUCUAAGUUCGGUGUGAAAUCUCCCGUCUUAACUGGGAGGGUGCGCCGAAGACUGGGAAGCUGGAGUGUGGGAAAGGCAGGCGGAAUUCCUGGUGUAGCGGUGAAAUGCGUAGAUAUCAGGAGGAACACCGGCGGUGUAGACGGCUUGCUAGACCAUAACUGACGCUGAGGCACGAAAGCGUGGGUAGCAAACA